AGUACUCGAGUGGCGAACGGGUGAGUAACACGUGGGUAAUCUGCCCUGCACUCUGGGAUAAGCCUGGGAAACUGGGUCUAAUACUGGAUAUGACCCUUCUCCUUAUGGGGUUUGGUGGAAAGUUUUUCGGUGUAGGAUGAGCCCGCGGCCUAUCAGCUUGUUGGUGGGGUGAUGGCCUACCAAGGCGACGACGGGUAGCCGGCCUGAGAGGGUGAUCGGCCACAUUGGGACUGAGAUACGGCCCAG
rnacentral:rRNA from 1 species